CCUACGGGAGGCAGCAGUGAGGAAUAUUGGUCAAUGGGCGCUAGCCUGAACCAGCCAAGUAGCGUGAAGGAUGACUGCCCUAUGGGUUGUAAACUUCUUUUAUAUGGGAAUAAAGUGCAGUAUGUAUACUGCUUUGCAUGUACCUUAUGAAUAAGGAUCGGCUAACUCCGUGCCAGCAGCCGCGGUAAUACGGAGGAUCCGAGCGUUAUCCGGAUUUAUUGGGUUUAAAGGGAGCGUAGGCGGGUUGUUAAGUCAGUUGUGAAAGUUUGCGGCUCAACCGUAAAAUUGCAGUUGAUACUGGCAUCCUUGAGUACAGUAGAGGUAGGCGGAAUUCGUGGUGUAGCGGUGAAAUGCUUAGAUAUCACGAAGAACUCCGAUUGCGAAGGCAGCCUGCUGGACUGUAACUGACGCUGAUGCUCGAAAGUGUGGGUAUCAAACAGGAUUAGAUACCCGGGUAGUC
rnacentral:rRNA from 1 species